GUCGUACGUCCUAUCACACGUACACGUAAUUGCCGGGUAUUGGUAUGAAUGCGGGUCUGUGUUGGGCCUGUGGUGGACUGGCAACCUGCCCAGGGUGGACCCUGCCUCUCACCUGAAGAUGCUGGGAUUGGCUCCAUCUUCUACGCAACAGAGACGCAUAAAGCAGUAUGGAAGGAUAGAAUAAACCUUUAUUAUCCCACGAAUGAGAAACUGAAGUGUUACAGAGCUCUUAUACAAAAGGAAUAUAGAACAAGAACAGCCUCCUGGACAAAAGCGUGGAGUAACAAGAGACCUGUGACAAGCUGACAGCGAUGGGCAGGGUUCGACCGUGAGUGUGCAGUGGUGUUCAGCAUGUGCAGCAGUGUUCAGCACCAUCCGCCUUUCACAAUUCAUGCAGGAGGGACUAGUUUCAUCUCAUUGCCAUUCAUUGCAUGUGAAUGAGUCGGGAGUAAAUGUGCGCACAGUCAAAGGUCAUCCUAGAGCUGGCCUGGACCCUGUAGAAUGUCACUCAGGCCCUCAGCAGCACCGUGCACAGACUAGGGGGCUCAGCCUCUCUUCCCGUGGACCUUCAGGAGAACGUGAUGAUCUCAGGUGUACGCCAAAGCUGUGCCUGCUGACGAGCUCAGCGUGGCCGUCCACAAAGCUUUCUUUAUUCCUGAUUUUUCCAUACUGGCACCUGCUUCCACAGGCUGAAGGCAGCUGUCAUGACUUGCACCAUGCAACCUGACCUCCACACAAAUCCUGCUCACAGGCUGCACAACUGUAAAUGAGACCUGAAUGACACGUCCUCGGCUUCGCAGUGAAUGAGACGUCCUCGGCUUCGCAGUGAAUGCCACGUCCUCGGCUUCGCAGUGAAUGAGACGUCCUCGGCUUCGCAGUGAAUGACACGUCCUCGGUUUCGCAGUGAAUGCCACGUCCUCGGCUUCGCAGUGAAUGANACGUCCUCGGUUUCGCAGUGAAUGCCACGUCCUCGGCUUCGCAGUGAAUGAUACGUCCUCGGCUUCGCAGUGAAUGCCACGUCCUCGGCUUCGCAGUGAAUGCCACGUCCUCGGCUUCGCAGUGAAUGCCACGUCCCCGGCUUCGCAGUGAAUGCCACGUCCCCGGCUUCGCAGUGAAUGCCACGUCCUCGGCUUCGCAGUGAAUGACACGUCCUCGGCUUCGCAGUAAAUGACACGUCCCCGGUUUCGCAGUGAAUGCCACGUCCUCGGCUUCGCAGUGAAUGACACGUCCUCGGCUUCGCAGUGAAUGCCACGUCCUCGGCUUCGCAGUGAAUGAUACGUCCUCGGCUUCGCAGUGAAUGACACGUCCUCGGCUUCCCAGUGAAUGACAUGUCCUUGGCUACCCAGUGGUCAGUUGUGGCACAGCGCAGCAUUAAAAUGCAUCAACUGUGUGCCUAUUAACGCCACAAGUACCUGAUAUUUCAGCUGAUGAAAUAUCAUUUUUGUUCUUCUUUGUAGGCUUUGUAGGCUUUUGAUACAUCACUCUUA